UCAAGCGAAUAGUGAAAUCACAUGGCUCAACCAUGCUGGCUAUUAUUCGAACUGAUGGACUAGAGAAUAGUAGAGGUACCUGGAAUUCCUAAAUGUAGGGGUAAUAAUCCGUAGAUAUUAGGAGGAACACCGAUGGCGUAGGCAGGGUACUAGACUAUUUCUGACGCUGAGGCACGAAAGCGUGGGAAGCGAACCGGAUUAGAUACCCGGGUAGUCCACGCCGUAAACGAUGGAUGCUA
rnacentral:rRNA from 1 species